CCUACGGGUGGCAGCAGUGGGGGAUAUUGCACAAUGGGGGGAACCCUGAUGCAGCGACGCCGCGUGGGUGAAGGAGCGUUUCGGCGCGUAAAGCCCUAUCGGCAGGGAAGAAGGAGGACGGUACCUGACUAAGAAGCCCCGGCUAACUACGUGCCAGCAGCCGCGGUAAUACGAAGGGGGCAAGCGUUAUCCGGAUUUACUGGGUGUAAAGGGGGCGCAGACGGCAGCGCAAGCCAGGAGUGAAAGCCCGGGGCCCAACCCCGGGACUGCUCUUGGAACUGCGCGGCGGGAGUGCAGGAGGGGAAGGCGGAAUUCCUGGUGUAGCGGUGAAAGGCGUAGAUAUUAGGAGGAACACCAGUGGCGAAGGCGGCUUACUGGACUGUAACUGACGUUGAGGCUCGAAAGCGUGGGGAGCAAACAGGAUUAGAUACCCUAGUAGUC
rnacentral:rRNA from 1 species